GUAUAAGCAAUUAUACCGCGAAACUGCGAAUGGCUCAUUAUAUAAGUUAUAGUUUAUUUGAUAGCACCUUACUACAUGGAUAACUGUGGUAAUUCUAGAGCUAAAACAUGCUAAAAAUCCCGACUUCGGAAGGGAUGUGUUUAUUAGAUUAAAAACCAAUGCCCUUCGGGGCUGCUUGGUGAUUCAUAAUAACCUCUCGAAUCGCACGGCCUUGCGCCGGCGAUGGUUCAUUCAAAUUUCUUCCCUAUCAACUUUCGAUGCGAAGGUAUUGUCUUCGCAUGGUUACAACGGGUAACGGAGGGUUAGGGCUCGACCCCGGAGAAGGAGCCUGAGAAACGGCUACUACAUCCAAGGAAGGCAGCAGGCGCGCAAAUUACCCAAUCCCGACACGGGGAGGUAGUGACAAUAAAUACUGAUACAGGGCUCUUUUGGGUCUUGUAAUUGGAAUGAGUACAAUUUAAAUCCCUUAACGAGGAACAAUUGGAGGGCAAGUCUGGUGCCAGCAGCCGCGGUAAUUCCAGCUCCAAUAGCGUAUAUUAAAGUUGUUGUGGUUAAAAAGCUCGUAGUUGAACCUUGGGCCUGGCUGGCCGGUCCCCCUCACCGGGUGCACUGGUCCGGCCGGGCCUUUCCCUCUGUGGAACCGCAUGCCCUUCACUGGGUGUGCCGGGGAAACAGGACUUUUACUUUGAAAAAAUUAGAGUGCUCCAGGCAGGCCUAUGCUCGAAUACAUUAGCAUGGAAUAAUAGAAUAGGACGUGUGGUUCUAUUUUGUUGGUUUCUAGGACCGCCGUAAUGAUUAAUAGGGACAGUCGGGGGCAUCAGUAUUCAAUUGUCAGAGGUGAAAUUCUUGGAUCUAUUGAAGACUAACUACUGCGAAAGCAUUUGCCAAGGAUGUUUUCAUUGAUAAGGAACGAAAGUUAGGGGAUCGAAGACGAUCAGAUACCGUCGUAGUCUUAACUAUAAACUAUGCCGACUAGGGAUCGGACGGUGUUUAUACUUGACCCGUUCGGCACCUUUCGAGAAAUCAAAGUGCUU
rnacentral:rRNA from 1 species